rnacentral:rRNA from 1 species
AAUGAACGUUGGCGGCGUGGAUUAGGCAUGCAAGUCGUGCGAGAAACCAAAUAGCUUGCUAUGAGGUGGACAGCGGCGAAAGGGAGAGUAACGCGUGGUUACGUGCCCUCGGGACCGGGAUAGUGUCGGGAAACUGGCAGUAAUACCGGAUAACAUCUUUGGAUCAAAUGGUGUGAUUCCGCCCGAGGAUCGGACCGCGUACUAUUAGCUUGUUGGCGGGGUAACGGCCCACCAAGGCUGCGAUGGUUACCGGGUGUGAGAGCAUGGCCCGGCUCACUGGGACUGAGACACUGCCCAGACAUCUACGGAUGGCUGCAGUCGAGAAUCUUCGGCAAUGGACGAAAGUCUGACCGAGCGACGCCGCGUGCGGGAUGAAGGCCCUCGGGUUGUAAACCGCUGUCAGUUAGGAGGAAAUGCAUGAGGGUUCUCUCUCAUGUUUGACCGAUUUUCAGAGGAAGGACGGGCUAAGUUCGUGCCAGCAGCCGCCGCAGUAAAC